rnacentral:rRNA from 1 species
AGUGAACGCUGGUGGUAGGCCUAACACAUGCAAGUCGAACGGCAGCACAGUAAGAGCUUGCUCUUACGGGUGGCGAGUGGCGGACGGGUGAGGAAUACAUCGGAAUCUACUUUUUCGUGGGGGAUAACGUAGGGAAACUUACGCUAAUACCGCAUACGACCUACGGGUGAAAGCAGGGGAUCUUCGGACCUUGCGCGAUUGAAUGAGCCGAUGUCGGAUUAGCUAGUUGGCGGGGUAAAGGCCCACCAACGCGACGAUCCGUAGCUGGUCUGAGAGGAUGAUCAGCCACACUGGAACUGAGACACGGUCCAGACUCCUACGGGAGGCAGCAGUGGGGAAUAUUGGACAAUGGGCGCAAGCCUGAUCCAGCCAUACCGCGUGGGUGAAGAAGGCCUUCGGGUUGUAAAGCCCUUUUGUUGGGAAAGAAAAGCAGCAGGUUAAUACCCCGCUGUUCUGACGGUACCCAAAGAAUAAGCACCGGCUAACUUCGUG